rnacentral:piRNA from 1 species
UCUUUAUCCAUUACAAAGUAGCCUAGGCC